UGUCUCUUGAAUGUCCUUUUUUGGUGUUAUGAUGAACGUAUUCACACCAUAAAGUGUCAUGGCGUUUGGCAGCACACCCCUAAAGACCACUGUGCUCAGACACAGGAAGUGAAGUGAACCACACAUUGUAUACUGUGACAUGUAGCGCACACACACACAAAAAAAAAACACAUACACACACAGGUGUCUUACAGAUGUACAUAGCUGGUUCCUCCAGUGUCCACCAUGAAAGCUGACGGCUGCCGGACCUUCCUUCUUGUGUUGAUCUUAGCAGUUCUUGUCUUCACUUUGGAUGGUGGAGACUCUGAAGAUGAAGAAUGCACCACAGAAUUUAAAGUUCGCCGCAACACAGUUUACAAGGCUUUAGUUGGACAAGAACUCAGGAUUAACUGCACAAUUGUCUUCUGCAACAGUUCAACAACAGUCUCCUGGUAUAAAUUUGAGGGAACAUAUUUCCCUGUUGAUGUCAGCAGCAGCAGUCACAUUAAAACAGAGUGGAAGAUGUUAAAGGAGCUGGAAGGGAUAUCAUUUUUGGUCUUCCCAAAUAUUCUCAGAAGCGACUCAGGUAAUUAUCAGUGUCGCAGUGGAAGAGAUGUGAGUCAUAUCAUCAAUGUUACCGUCUAUGGUGAUGUUGAGCUCUCCACGGUUACACCGACAACUCAAGAUUCAGUUAACACAGCAGCUGUGGACAUUUUCUGGCCAUUUGUGUACCGCACUGUUGGGCUCAUGGUGCUUGUCAUCAUAGGGAUAUCUAUCUGGAUCAUACCAAAGCGAGCAUGUAAAGGAAAAUCUCAGAGCACAACAGAUCCGAGUCUCCAGCCUCAGCAUCACAUCUAUGAAAAUGAUCUGUAAUCUUUUGUCUGUGCUGCGAAAUCAUCCUGCUAAGCCCAAUUAAGGACAUUAGAGCAAUGAUUUUAGAGUUUAUUUAAGACAUUUUAACUGCUGUAUGUGUCAGAUGAGUAGCUAGACUUUGCUGUUAUUGUGCCUUGUAAUUCAAUGUAAUACGCAUAUAAAUGAUUGAUUGGGUUCUAUUGACUUUAAAAUGAUCAAAUCAGCUCAACAAAAUAAUUUUUUCAUCAGUGUUUCACCGUUGCCUGUGUGUCUGUUAGUGUUGACUCGAUUUUGUGCUUGUGUUUUCCUGUAAAUCAAACCGUUGCAACACAGAAGUGAAAUUUCUCACCUGGAAACCAUUGUUGGAAUCCUACUGUGUACGUGCAAAAUGUGUCACAAGUGAAUAAUUUAGUUUCCUACAAGUGAAAAUUGUCAUGCACACACACAUCUGGUGGAAAUCUCACUAUGAAAUGUGAUUGUCUUUAUUACUGUGUGUAUCUGUUUGCAUCUGUGUUGUUUAUGCUCUGUUGGUGCAGAUUAAAAGGAUUCUCUUCUCAAGUACAGUAUCUGAUGUGCAUUUGAGAGCAGCAA
ensembl:lncRNA